rnacentral:rRNA from 1 species
GAGUUUGAUCGUGGCUCAGGAUGAACGCUGGCGGCGUGCUUAACACAUGCAAGUCGAACGGUGAAACAGGAGCUUGCUCCUGCGGAUCAGUGGCGAACGGGUGAGUAACACGUGAGCAAUCUGCCCUGGACUCUGGGAUAAGCGUUGGAAACGACGUCUAAUACCGGAUACGAGCUGCGAAGGCAUCUUCAGCAGCUGGAAAGAACUUCGGUCCAGGAUGAGCUCGCGGCCUAUCAGCUAGUUGGUGAGGUAACGGCCCACCAAGGCGACGACGGGUAGCCGGCCUGAGAGGGUGACCGGCCACACUGGGACUGAGACACGGCCCAGACUCCUACGGGAGGCAGCAGUGGGGAAUAUUGCACAAUGGCGCAAGCCUGAUGCAGCAACGCCGCGU